GUAACAAUAUGACUAGAGCACAUUCGGUUCAGUUCGAGUUACAGUCAGACUCAGUACUAGUUUCAACAGCCUACAGUUAGCAAAGUCAUCGACUACCAUCGUUUAAGUAAGUACAUGUUUCCUUUUUGUGUAACGCAAUAUUAUGUUUACAUUGUUUUUAAAAUAUCUAAGUUAGUCACCAUUGUUCUUGCAGUAUGCUGCUAGUCCAGUAGCUAGAGUGGCUAGAAAGUGUUAGCUAACACGUGCUGUUUUGCCCUCCUUACAGUACACACUGAGGUUAAGCAAUGUUGCUAGUAACAUUACAUGUAGAAAUGUUAUUAACUACAUACAGUAGUUAGCCAAAGCUUUACAUCUAGAAAGACUAAGUAUAACUUGUGUGUUUUUUUUUCUAACAAAACAAUGCUGUAUAUAGGUUGUGUAAAUGAUUAUAUUUGUCGAACAAGAAUGCUGCUAGUUCAGUUCACAAUGUAGCUAUAGUGGUUAGAAAGUGUUAGCUAACACGUGCGGUGUUGCUUUCCUACAGUACACACUGAGGUUAAGCAAUGUUGCUAGUAACAUUACAUGUAGCAAAUAACAUUUCAACAUGCAGUAGUUAGCCAAAGCUUUACAUCUAGAAAGAUUAAGUAUCGCUUGUGUUUUUCUGCGGCGUCUUGGAGAGUUUGGCGAUGUUGUGCGAAGCAUGGACAUCAAAAUGGACACUAUGCUGCAACAUUUUAGUGCCGGUGUGUCCGUUGGAGGGUUAUCCCUGCCAGGGGAUCUGUUACUCCCACUAGACACCCAGGACGAUUUAGCGUUGCUUGACAGCAGUCUGAGGCAGGAUAAAGAGCUCCAGCAACGAUUUCUUCGGUUUUUGGCAAUCAAGUGUGGGAGGGACCUCAAGACAACUGUGUGGCGAAUGCUUGAGAGUAUCUUCUCUAAUCGCCUUUCCAUUAACACAACCUGGACUGGUGCAGGGGAAAAAAGCAUGUUUUAGAGACAUGUUCCUGAAGACCAUUGUUCAAAGAGCCAUCCGGAAGAACUCGGCAACCCAGGAUGCCACUGAUGAGGCGAUCCAGGUUAACGUUACGCGUUACCUGAAAGGAGCAGAUGACCGUGAAGGUGGAAAAAGGCGCUGCACAGCUGAGAGGGACCCACAGCCGACCCCUCAAACCUAGGCUGACUACCGACACCCCUGCUAAAAGUGUCAGACUAAACUCACUCAAUCCACACUCUUCACUAGAAAUUGCUGUUUUUUUUUUUAUUUUUUAUUUUUCCCCAUCUCGUGACCCUGCCUUCAGGGCAGCUCCUUGGAUGAAUAUGGGAUGUUUUUUUUUUUUUUUUCCUCUCAUGACCCUGCCUUCAGGGCAGCUCCUUGGAUGAAUAUGGGAUGGUUUGUCUUUUUAUACAGGCGCACGAGGAAUCACUGAAGAUGUGCCAAUUUGCACUGCCUCAUUCUGGAGGUCGAGGAAAACCAGACCCCAACCACUCCAGACAUUGUGAUUGACUGUGUUCUCAACAGCCAGAUUUUCUGCUGUUAAUUGCAUUUGUUCCCACUUAUUGUCAUGUUUAAGUUGAAUGUAAAACUUUACAUUAUCCUGCACAUUCUUUGAUACCAAAGAUCUCAAUUAUUUAAUAUACAAUUUGCUGCUUAUUUCAUUGUUACAGUGCUUAACUAUUCUAUUUUUAAAUAUAGCUUAUAAAUCCUAGAUUAUACAUCUAAUACUUGAUAUUUGCACAUUAUCUGGUAGCAAAUAUUCUACUUACCGUGACUUUAGUAUUGGCUUAUUUCAUUCCGUCAGUGCUUAACGAUUCUAUUAUAGUUUGUAAAUCCUAUUUCAUACCUCUGAUAUUUGAUAUUGCACUUUUAACUAGUACCAGUUAAUUCUACUUUCAUUCCAUCAGUGUGCUUAACUGUUAUUCUAUUAAAAAUAGCUUGGUUGUACUAUUUCAUACCUUUUGAUAUUGCACUUUCACUAGUACCAAAAAAUCUACUUUCAUUCCAUCAGUGUGCUUAACUGUUAUUCUAUUAAAAAUAGCUUGGUUAUACUAUUUCAUACCUUUUGAUAUUGCACUUUCACUAGUACCAAAAAUUCUACUUUCAUUCCAUCAGUGUGCUUAACUGUUAUUCUAUUGUUAAAUAUAGCUUGUAAAUCCUUGUGCCACAGGUCAGCAUUGCAGUUAUAAUGGCAUAUUCUACUCCAGAGCUUUACUCUAAAUUAUUACCACUUAUCCUAUUGUUAGAAAUGACUUGUAAAUAUGAUGUUAUACCUCAAUUUAUUUGAUAUCCUGCACUUUAUUUGGUACCAAAUAUCCUCAUUGCUUAUGUUUACUGGUAAUUCUUUUCAUCCCAGAGCUGACCUCUUUAUAUUAUUUACAAUUGUUGUAAGUGUUACAAUAGUGUUUUUUACAAAAGUGUUUUUUUUUUUGCUUGUUUUUACCUAAAUUUAAUUGGAAACCUGCAUUUUCUUUGGGUGUAUAUAUGUUUGUAUUUUUCUGUUAUUUAUAUUUCAGUGAUCUGACAUAUUGUUUCAAUGACAGUUACUGUAAUUUGAAAUGUGGAAUAAAAACGGCAA